rnacentral:rRNA from 1 species
GACGGAAGGUGCAAGCGUUGCUCGGAAUCACUGGGCGUAAAGGGUGCGUAGGCGGCUUGGUGGGUCUGGUGUGAAAGCCCCGGGCUCAGCCCGGGAAGGGCGCUAGAAACUGCCGAGCUCGAGUGCCGGAGGGGAGAGUGGAAUUCCUGGUGUAGCGGUGAAAUGCGUAGAUAUCAGGAGGAAUACCGGUGGCGAAGGCGGUUCUCUGGGCCUUACCUGACGCUGAGAAGCGAAAGCAUGGGGAGCGAACAGG